rnacentral:sRNA from 21 species
GUCAACGAUCCCCACGCAUGAAUGCGGGGGCUUGUCCCUUGUGUUGAUGCCGUCUUCGUUGUCCAGCCGAGGUACCAGAGCCCGCAGGCAAGGCGCUGAUUGGUACCAGCGUUGCGCUCGUCACGACACCUCGUUGUGCUUCCUCAGCAGCGAGCGCUGUC